rnacentral:rRNA from 1 species
GAUGAACGCUGGCGGCGUGCCUAAUACAUGCAAGUCGAGCGAACAGACGAGGAGCUUGCUCCUCUGACGUUAGCGGCGGACGGGUGAGUAACACGUGGAUAACCUACCUAUAAGACUGGGAUAACUUCGGGAAACCGGAGCUAAUACCGGAUAAUAUAUCGAACCGCAUGGUUCAAUAGUGAAAGACGGUUUUGCUGUCACUUAUAGAUGGAUCCGCGCCGCAUUAGCUAGUUGGUAAGGUAACGGCUUACCAAGGCAACGAUGCGUAGCCGACCUGAGAGGGUGAUCAGCCACACUGGAACUGAGACACGGUCCAGACUCCUACGGGAGGCAGCAGUAGGGAAUCUUCCGCAAUGGGCGAAAGCCUGACGGAGCAACGCCGCGUGAGUGAUGAAGGUCUUCGGAUCGUAAAACUCUGUUAUUAGGGAAGAACAAAUGUGUAAGUAACUAUGCACGUCUUGACGGUACCUAAUCAGAAAGCCACGGCUAGCUACGUG